GUGGGGAAUAUUGGACAAUGGGCGAAAGCCUGAUCCAGCCAUGCCGCGUGUGUGAAGAAGGUCUUCGGAUUGUAAAGCACUUUAAGUUGGGAGGAAGGGCAGUAAGUUAAUACCUUGCUGUUUUGACGUUACCGACAGAAUAAGCACCGGCUAACUUCGUGCCAGCAGCCGCGGUAAUACGAAGGGUGCAAGCGUUAAUCGUAAUUACUGGGCGUAAAGCGCGCGUAGGUUGUUUUGUAAGUUGGAGGUGAAAUCCCCGGGCUCAACCUGGGAACUGCCUCCAAAACUGCAUGACUAGAGUACGGUAGAGGGUAGUGGAAUUUCCUGUGUAGCGGUGAAAUGCGUAGAUAUAGGAAGGAACACCAGUGGCGAAGGCGACUACCUGGACUGAUACUGACACUGAGGUGCGAAAGCGUGGGGAGCAAACAGGAUUAGAAACCCGGGUAGUCC
rnacentral:rRNA from 1 species